GGUUAAGUUACUAAGGGCGUACGGUGGAUGCCUUGGCAGUCGAACCGAUGAAGGACGUGGCUACCUGCGAUAAGCCUUGGUGAGGUGGAAGCAACCUUUGACCCAGGGAUGUCCGAAUGUGGGAACACACUAGAGCGAACCUCUAGUAUCCAUAGCUGAACACAUAGGCUAUGUGAAGGGAACCCAGGGAACUGAAACAUCUAAGUACCUGGAGGAAAAUAAAGAAAACUCGAUUCCGUCAGUAGUGGCGAACGAAAGCGGAACAGCCCAAACCGAAAUCUACGGAUUUCGGGGUUGUAGGACUGACAAUAUGGACCCGAAUAGUUAGCAGAAGCGCACUGGAAAGGCGCACCAAAGUGGGUGAUAGUCCCGUAUGCGAAAACUGUGGAGGCCUAGUCAGCACCUGAAUAGCUCGAGUCACGUGGAACCUCGAGCGAAUCCACGGGGACCACCCCGUAAGGCUAAAUAUUCCGACUGACCGAUAGUGAACCAGU
rnacentral:rRNA from 1 species